GCCGGAGUAGCUCAGCUGGUUGCUAAUUGCAAGUAAAGAGUGCUACGCUCAUGACGUAGUGGUCGUGGGUUCGAAUCCCACCUCCGGCA
rnacentral:tRNA from 1 species